UACGAAGGGGGCUAGCGUUGCUCGGAUUGACUGGGCGUAAAGGGCGCGUAGGCGGUUCGUACAGUCAGACGUGAAAUUCCUGGGCUCAACCUGGGGGCUGCGUUUGAUACGUGCGGACUUGAGUGCGGAAGAGGGUCGUGGAAUUCCCAGUGUAGAGGUGAAAUUCGUAGAUAUUGGGAAGAACACCGGUGGCGAAGGCGGCGAGCUGGCCUGUAACUGACGCUGAGGCGCGACAGCGUGGGGAGCAAACAGG
rnacentral:rRNA from 1 species